rnacentral:rRNA from 1 species
CCCGGACUCGGCCGCGUCGACGAGCGAAGACGAGUCGUUAAUAGGGCGUCUAGUCGCUGGGAAGUAGACCCGAAACCGGACGAGUCUAUCCAUGGGCGAGGUUGAAGGUUAGGUAACACUGACUGGAGGACCGAACCACUAACGUUGAAAAGUUAGGGGAUGAGCUGUGGGUGGGAGUGAAAGGCUAAUCAAACUGGGAAAUAGCUGGUUCUCCGCGAAAUAUAUUGAGGUAUAGCCUCGGACGAAUUCCAUCGGAGGUAGAGCACUGGAUGGGCUAGGGGUCCUACCAGAUUACCAAACCCAACCAAACUCCGAAUGCCGAUGAGAACUAUCCGGGAGACAGGCAGUGGGUGAUAAGGUCCAUUGCCGAGAGGGAAAGAGCCCAGAUCGACAGCUAAGGUCCCAAAAUCCAGGCUAAGUGUAAAAGGAUGUGGGAGCGCUCAGACAGCCAGGAGGUUGGCUUAGAAGCAGCCAUCCUUUAAAGAAAGCGUAAUAGCUCACUGGUCGAGCGAGCCUGCGCCGAAAAUACAACGGGGCUAAAGCCUGGCGUCGACGCGGCCG